rnacentral:rRNA from 1 species
CCGGGAUGUUCAUAACCCUUUGUUGUCCGACUCUGUUGCCUCCGGGGCGACCCUGCCUUCGGGCGGGGGCUCCGGGUGGACACUUCAAACUCUUGCGUAACUUUGCAGUCUGAGUAAACUUAAUUAAUAAAUUAAAACUUUUAACAACGGAUCUCUUGGUUCUGGCAUCGAUGAAGAACGCAGCGAAAUGCGAUAAGUAAUGUGAAUUGCAGAAUUCAGUGAAUCAUCGAAUCUUUGAACGCACAUUGCGCCCCCUGGUAUUCCGGGGGGCAUGCCUGUUCGAGCGUCAUUUCACCACUCAAGCCUCGCUUGGUAUUGGGCAACGCGGUCCGCCGCGUGCCUCAAAUCGACCGGCUGGGUCUUCUGUCCCCUAAGCGUUGUGGAAACUAUUCGCUAAAGGGUGCUCGGGAGGCUACGCCGUAAAACAAACCCAUUUCUAAGGUUGACCUCGGAUCAGGUAGGGAUACCCGCUGAACUUAAGCAUAUCAAUA